GUAAAAACGAUUCAGUGACAUUGUUUUGCUUGGCCUUUUUGGGCCGCUUCUUUUUUUAUAUACGCUGAUGAGGACAGGCAAGUACAUUUAGGACAGUUUUGCCUUUAUAAUGUAGGAGGAUUAGGAGCUACAGAUCUUAGGGCAUGCUAUCAGGAAGAGUUGGGGAGGAUGUGUCUGUAUUAGGGAACUAGGAGGGAGAAAGUAGCCACUGAGACCCACCAAUGAAGGGGCAGAGGCUAGAGAUUGCCUGUAAUCUGAUUCUUUGUCAUCUAAAAGAUGAAUCGCUACAGUCCUGCCCCCUAGUGCUUCCGAUGUGGUGAGGAAGACAACUAUGAAGAUAGGCAGUUUGGGUGUCGUGUGUGCAAUACCAAGGAACAUGGAACGUGGCUCUCACGUAUGGGCGAAGUGUGCCUGUGUUCACUCACGGAAAGAAUAUGCGAGAAGUCAGGGAGAUGCGACUGGAUGCGUAUCUAAGACUGACGGCAUGUUUGUCUGUAAUGACAAGUGCUUGACGGCAGCAGAAAAUGAUGAGUGGCCCAAGGGAGACUUCACCACCCACUUGAGAGCGACCCUUGAAGGGUUGAUGACCCGUUUGAAGCCUGAUCAAGCACCGCUGUCUUGACCCUCAGGGAACCAACUGUCUGGAAAACUUGCUCUGUCAGUCUGAGCGAUGUGCUGAGAAUCCCCGGGCAACCUGGGAGCCCAGUUGUGUGUAAAACACAGAGUGAAGUAGCCCUAGAGAGUGGAUAGGCUUCCUUCCUACGCCGUGUGGCCAUAUCUGCUAAAUGUAUUGACGUCAGCUUACCACACUGAGCCAUUUAAAAGUACGGGGCAGUAAACUUUUUUCUUUCAUUGAGUUUAUGGGUACAUUCUAGGUAUACAGUACAGUCACAUUCAUCAUUGGGAUCUCGUACCUUUGCCUGACAGGUCUUGGUUCUCAUGUUUUCCCCUUGUCCCUGCCCUCCCUUCACCCCCUCUUUUCCUCCCCAUUUACAAACACUUUAUUUCCAUUUUUUCAUUUUCUCACAUUUUUUUCUUUUCCCUUAUUACUUUUCCCCUACCCUUCCCACUUCCCC
rnacentral:lncRNA from 1 species